CACACACAGUCUCUCUCACAUACACACACACGCACAGACACACUCUCUCCUCUUGCUCUCCAUCUCUCUCUAAGAACAAGCAGCGUGUGUAUAUGAGCCAUCAGACCCCCUUCUUCUUCCUCCUUCAUCUCACCCCCCCCCACACACACUCUCUCCCACACACUUCUCUCACCCUUCCUCUCUUCCCUCUCUCCUCUUCCCCUUUACCUCCUAUCCCUCCAUCUCUUCACCCCUUCAUUCUCCUCAUCCUCCCGUCCCUCUCGUUUCUCUUUCCUCUGCUCUUCCGUCCUUCCUUCCUUCUCUCUCCAGCUGAGAGCAGACGGGCCAGAUCCUCUCUUCUCUGUUCUCACUGAGUGGACAGACAGACAGACAGACAGACAGACAGACAGGGUACUGAGAGACAGACAGCUCAGAAACCCUGGAGGCUCAGAGACCUAAUUGAAUUGGACGUCUCCUGAGGAACUCUGUCCCUGUAUGUAGCCGUGCAGUGGACGACGUCUGGAUCGCACCAGAGACUGACUCAUGGCCACUGCACUUGCUGAAGAGUAGCCCACUUCGCAACGUGACCUCUGCAUGACCCGGAAGUACAUGUUUUAAUCCCCCCAAGUGAUGGACACAGACAAUGCCACACUCCAUUAAAAGCCACUCAUACUGCAGACAAGGCAUACUACAAGAUGGACGUGACCCUUGCCGUGUUCUCCUGAGAUAAUACAGCUUCCUCCCAGUGCGAUCGCAUCAGACCCUCGGGUCACCUGGUCCCCAGUCUGCUGUCGUGUGGAGAGUCUCGCUUCACCCUCCUUCUGAGGCCACGUCUGACCAGACUCGACUCUUUCACUUGUCCCUUCAAUGAACACUGUUGUGAAAUCUCUCAGAAGUCUUGUGACCAUGGACAGAACUGAGAAGUAAAACUGCCGUCAGCUCUCUCAGGGACGUCUGUGCCCUGGGUGGAGCUCUCGUGACCACGGGUGGGACUGAGUGAACACUAUGAGUUGUGCACUAUUAUAGUAGUGAACACUGUUAAUCAGUGUUGGGGCUUCAUGUCACAUUGUAUUGGAAGUGUUUCCCUGUUGAGAGCACCAGGUGCAGAGGUUGUUCUAUGUAUGUAAAUUACCUGUAAACAUGUGUACUUUUAUGGGUUUAUCCUCUUGUAUCGACACAGGCAAACACUUGGGCGUCCAACCGCUGUGAGGCAAAUUGUCACAAGUGAGGGGGAUCUCAGACGCUGUCUGCCUGGCUCAACCGGCACAACACUGCCCCCUAGUGUAUGAGCUACGUAGUGCAGUUCGGCAUUGAGUAUUUACUGAUGAGCACAAGCACAGAGUCACCAGGCUUUGUACAUUACAAGCCUUUAGUUACAGUACGUUGAGCAUGGUUAUGUAAACUGUAAUGCAUAAAGUGUGUACAUCUGUGACACGUGGUUUACGGUGUUCUACUAUGUAACUGGUGGUGAAAUCAAAGAAGAGGUGUGAGGAGCAGCAAAAAGUGAUCGUGCGUGCGGUGUGUGUGUGUGUGUGUGUGUGUGUGUGUGUGUGUGUGUGUGUGUGUGUGUGUGUGUGU
ensembl:lncRNA